rnacentral:lncRNA from 1 species
CAACAAGAAUGAGUCUAGAAAGGGAGAUACACCCAUGUCGCUUCCUGUAUCGGCCAAGGCUUUACACCAUCAUCAUAUGUUCUGAAUCAAACUUCUUAUACAAGUAUGAUUCUGAGGUGCCUGAUGUAUACAUCAAAGAUAGAAGCGAUAGUGCAGAUUCUUUGUUUGUGAAGUUAUUGUUUUCUUACUCUGGAGUAUUACUGCUACUUACAUUCGAUUGCUGACCGCUUAUUUACUUAUUUAUUUAUUUCUUUCGAAUUUUCCUUGAUGUUUCUUAAUCCUGUCUAGAAUAUUUUCCUUUCCUUGUUGACU